rnacentral:rRNA from 1 species
GAUCAUGGCUCAGGGUGAACGCUAGCUACAGGCUUAACACAUGCAAGUCGCGGGGUAACAUUUGACAGAGCUUGCUCAGUCAAGAUGACGACCGGCGCACGGGUGAGUAACGCGUAUCCAACCUGGCCCAUACCACGGGACAGCCCGUCGAAAGGCGGAUUAAUACCGUAUGCAGUCAUAGACAAGCAUUUGAAUAUGACGAAAGGAUUCGGCGGUAUGGGAUGGGGAUGCG